CGUAUUCUUGUGAGUAUUUUUAUACUUUGAGUGUUGUUAUACGGUGCAAGUUCCUUCAGUACUAUAUCUAGUAUUCCAGUCAGAAGUACUGUCUUUUUGAGGGAAGGGAUGUUAUUUUUUUUAUAAAAAUGAUAUUAUUUCUUUCAAUAUCAUUAUGUCGGAAUAUUGGUAAGAUUUUUCUUGUGAAAUUCUUGUCUUUUAGUGUCGAGGUUACCAUUCAC
rnacentral:lncRNA from 1 species